ACAGCGGGAUACAAGCAGGGUCAGAGUGAUUCCAGGCCUGAUGGUGAGGUCCAGAAUGGACACCGGGCUGGAAUCCCAUCUGAGCGGUCUUACUCAGCUGGCUCCCCAGAACUUCUAGAAAAUCUCACGCAAAAAAGGUACUUGCAUAUCCUGGAAAUGAGGCCCUUGUAGGAUAUAUGUAUUGAUACAUGUUACAGGUAUUUUCCCCCAGGUUAUCAAUUGCCUUUUCACUCUGAUAAUGAAAUCUUUUUGAAGAACAUAUGCUCUUCAUUUGAAUGAAAUCAGUUUAUUAGUCUUUUAUUUGUAGUUCAUGGCUCAUUCUGUUUAAAACUUUUCCCUACCAUUGCAGACAAAGUGCUAUGUUUGGCAGUUUUUGUCCUCUUCAAAAUUCAUGUUGAAACUUAAUCCCUAAGUUUGGGGAGGUGGGACCUAAUUGGAGGUAUUUAAAUUAUCAGGGCCCAGACCUCAUGAACAGAUUAAUGAUACUAUAUAAAGGGCUUUGGGGGCACACCCAUAAUCCCAGCGGCUGGAGAGGCUGAGACAGUAGGAUCACAAGUUCAAAGCCUCAGCAAAAACAAGGUGCUAAGCAUCAAGACCCUAUCUCUAAAUAAAAACCAAAACAGGGCUAGGGAUGUGUCUCAGUAGCCGAGUAUCCCUGAGUUCACUCUCCGGUACUAAGAAAAAAGGGCUUGCUGUACUGGAUUUUCAUUCUCUCUUUUGCUCUUCUGCCAUAUGAGGACACAACAUUUGUCUCCACCUGCCCUUCCUUCUGCCUUCCCCUGUAGCAGGAAGGCCCUCACCAGAAACAGGAUGCCAGUGCCUUGAUCUUGGACUUCCCAUCCUCCGGAACUGUAAGGAAGUAAAUAUCUGUUCUUUAUAAAAUACUCAGUCUCAGGUACUCUGUUAUACUAGCACAAAAUAGACCAAAAAUAAGGGUAUUCUAUUUUCCUCCUAGAAACAUUAUUGUUUUACCUUUCAUAUUUAGGGCUGUAAUCCAUCUCAAAUUAAGUUUUUUAUUUGUUUUUAUGUAGAGGUCAAGAUAUAUUUUUUCUCACAUAUAUAUAAGUUGUUGCUGACACUGUUUAUUGAAUUUCAGUACUGCCUCUUUAACAGAUCAUGUGACCUUAUGUGUGACACACCAAGAAGGCAUCACCUGUGAGGAAGCAGGCCCUCAUCAGACAUGAAUCUGCCAACACCUUGAUUUUGGACCUUCCAGUCUCCAGAACUAAUACCACAGACUGGAUAAUUUGUCAAGAAUAGAAACUUACUGGCUAACUGUUCAAGAGUCCGGGAAGACUACUGUCAAGACGCUGGCAGGUUUGGUAAUUCUGAUUCCAAGAGAGAGCCUGUAUUAUGUACUGAGAUGGCCUCAGAUAAAAUUGCAAAGAGACAAAAAAAGGGGGGGGGGCUAAAUUCACUCUUUUAUGAAAGCGUUAAUCCUACCUGUGAGGGCAGAGCCUUUAAGGCCUAAUCAUCUCUCAAAUGUCUGACUUAUAAAUACUGUUAAAAUGGCAAUUAAAUUUGAAUUUGAGUUUUAGUGGGGACAGACAUUGAAAUGGUAGCAAGAAAGAAAGCCUGGCAGAAGUUAAAAUGAUUUUCUAGUACUAUUUUAUUUGAAUCUCUGCAGAAUUUUAUGGUAGGAAGAUAGGAAGAUAGAGUUAUGAUGGGAAUGGGUCUUUCCCCAAUGUAAUUAUUGCUCACUUUCCAGACAGAGCACAGCCCACUAUUUCCUCUACAACCUGUAGCCCAAUAUCAGAGCCACCAAUGCCCUCUGCUUCCAUCUAAAAACUGCAAAAAUAUUGGCUCAGAGAGAAAAGCACACUAUUUUUAGAGUGGAAAUCUGAAUCCCUUCAGCUGCAGGGCAGAGCAGAAGGCUAGCUGGGGCACAAAGCCAGGAAACUAGACUGACUGGUCUGUCCCAGAGGAAGCUUACAUCACAUUCAUUUAGAAGUUGCUUUGCUUUGCUUUUCCAACCUGUACUGUCCCCAUGGUUUCAUUUUCAUUUUUUCCAGCUAUGUUCAUAUACCAUGAAAUUACUGUGAAAUUUAUAUGUGACAUUUAAAAAAGUAAAUUAUUAGUAAUAGUCUGUAUAUGAAUAUAUGGAUUUUAAUACUUGGACUGUGGAUUUUAAUUGAAUUGUUAAUGUAAGUGUAUUUAUAGAAAUUUUAUAUAUAGAAGCUGGCACUGCAGAUAUUGGAAAAUCAAUUUAUUAUGAAUAUCUAUAAACUUUCAGUAAUGUUAUCAGAAUAUCAUAAAGUUAACAUAAUGUUCAGAUAAUUUGUUAUCAUAUGGGAAAUACAAUAGAUUCUUCACAUUAUUUGAAAAAAAUUUAAUAUGGCUUAAGUACAGUAAUAUAAAAGAAAAUUAUUAAACUCUU